AUAGCAAUCCGGAGCAGCACUUCCCUGGCUCUCCCUCUUCCCAACCUUCUUUCCCGGACUCCCAAUCCCCUGAGGCCCAUCAUAGGGUCCCCUUAGAACUUUCCGUCCCCCCUCCUGCCGAGUACCCUAAGAUUUCAACCAAUUAGCCGGGUCGGGGACUGCAUGUUGGCUGUCUUGCCUAAGGAAGUGCCUUGGCAGAAAAGGAGGAAGAAGGGCUCUGGAGGGAAUAGGGAAGGGAGUUGUUCUGAGAGCCCCUCCCUUCAACUUAGUAGGCAAAACAACCAAUUUUUUCAAGGACAGAACUGAGAGGAUGGCAUCCACAUCUGCCAGGAGUGGGGACAAAAAGGACAUCAGGUCAUCUCAAGCUGCCGCCUCCUUAGGUGGAGGGCAGAAAUUAUCCUGCUCUGAAGAAUUCCUGACCCGAAUCAGCACAGAACUUACAGACGAAGCACUGUUUAUUGCUCGCUCCCGUUUGAGUCCUCUGCCCAAUAAGGAAAAGAACACAAAAGACCAAGGGACUCAGAUAUCUAGACAUGUGUUCUUCACUAAGACCCGAGGCACUGACACCCGGUGAGUGAGGCUCUGUCCUUCUCCCAGGAGCCUGUGGGGAGAGAGCAAGGGUUGACAGCAUCCCAGCAGGCUCUGACAAAAAUCGAACCCGAACCAAGGCACACCUUCUGCCAUCUCCUCGUGAAAAGGGACCACUCCCCAACAGCCUGACAACUGGAGGAUGAGCUCGGCCCUCCCUAGUACUGCUCUCUCAGCUUCUUGCCUUCCCCCACUAUGUCCCUCAGUGAAAACCUCAAGGCCUCUCUUUUGCAACUGGCUAAGCCUCUCAUCUUGGGAGGAACUCCUGGUCAUAAGCAAUGCCACCUUUGAAACCAAGAAAAUCUUCUGGAACUGUCGCGGGGCCCUCCACCCUCCGUGGGCAAAUGCUACUGAGAAGAAAAGGUUUUAAUAAAGAACCAGGAUCCUCCCUUC
ensembl:lincRNA